AAAAAAUGAGGGAACAAAUACACAGCAAAGGGUUUCACAACAGAAAGAAAUGAGGGUUUGUUUUUAGGGUGAAAUGCGGCGCUUCACUUCCCGAACUGCAACGGCACGAUGACAAACAGAAGAAGAUCUGUGCUACAACCCUGCGGUGGUUGAAGUGAUUGAACACGUGGUAUGGAGAGAAAGUCAAAAAAAAAAAAGAGCGGAUGAGAAAGAUGCGAAAGGGAGAAGACGACGACGUACGGUGGUUCAAUAAAGAUCGAGUACGCAUAAACACAGUAAAAAGAAGAUGAUGAAGGCAUACAUCACCGUCGUUGGACCUUACCUUCGAAAAGCGGUUCAUCGUAGUCGCAAAUAGUAAUGGUGCAAGAAAGAAGAAAAAGAGAGGGGUACAUCUCCAACUAAGGCACACAACAAUUUGUAGAGGGAUAUGGCUUGUGGAUUUGGUUAAAUGAAAGGUUUGAUGGUUCCAGCAAGGCAUGAUUGCAGGGUAAGGUUUUGCAGAGUAGUUGAGGAAGCAGUUGCAGGGGUUCAAGGAAGAUCGUGUUUUUCUUAUUUCCAUUUUGUUUUGUUUUGUUUUUUGUUUUUUUUUGUUUGAUUUAGUAUAUGUAUUAUUAUUAUUUAUGUAUGUAUGAAUAUAAUUUUGAUUUAUACAAGAAUACAAAAUUUGGAGUUAA